UCUCCACAAAUUAUUUGAGCACAAGUAUGGGAAUUUCCAUUACAUUCAAAUCUCUAGAUAUUAGUUUUAAAACAAUGAAUUUUAGAACAGCUGUAGCUACUAACCAUGGCUUCAUCCUCUAGAGACAAAUACAAUACAUUGCCUCAAUGACAAGACAAGACUCUUGAGACCUUGAUUCUGAAGAAACUUCAUUUCUACCACCUGCAACAUUAACUAUGGAUU
rnacentral:lncRNA from 1 species